rnacentral:rRNA from 1 species
CUGGAGGUAUCAGAAGUGCGAAUGCUGACAUAAGUAACGAUAAAGCGGGUGAAAAGCCCGCUCGCCGGAAGACCAAGGGUUCCUGUCCAACGUUAAUCGGGGCAGGGUGAGUCGACCCCUAAGGCGAGGCCGAAAGGCGUAGUCGAUGGGAAACAGGUUAAUAUUCCUGUACUUGGUGUUACUGCGAAGGGGGGACGGAGAAGGCUAUGUUGGCCGGGCGACGGUUGUCCCGGUUUAAGCGUGUAGGCUGGUUUUCCAGGCAAAUCCGGAAAAUCAAGGCUGAGGCGUGAUGACGAGGCACUACGGUGCUGAAGCAACAAAUGCCCUGCUUCCAGGAAAAGCCUCUAAGCAUCAGGUAACAUCAAAUCGUACCCCAAACCGACACAGGUGGUCAGGUAGAGAAUACCAAGGCGCUUGAGAGAACUCGGGUGAAGGAACUAGGCAAAAUGGUGCCGUAACUUCGGGAGAAGGCACGCUGAUAUGUAGGUGAAGUCCCUUGCGGAUGGAGCUGAAAUCAGUCGAAGAUACCAGCUGGCUGCAACUGUUUAUUAAAAACACAGCACUGUGCAAACACGAAAGUGGACGUAUACGGUGUGACGCCUGCCCGGUGCCGGAAGGUUAAUUGAUGGGGUCAGCGCAAGCGAAGCUCUUGAUCGAAGCCCCGGUAAACGGCGGCCGUAACUAUAACGGUCCUAAGGUAGCGAAAUUCCUUGUCGGGUAAGUUCCGACCUGCACGAAUGGCGUAAUGAUGGCCAGGCUGUCUCCACCCGAGACUCAGUGAAAUUGAACUCGCUGUGAAGAUGCAGUGUACCCGCGGCAAGACGGAAAGACCCCGUGAACCUUUACUAUAGCUUGACACUGAACAUUGAGCCUUGAUGUGUAGGAUAGGUGGGAGGCUUUGAAGUGUGGACGCCAGUCUGCAUGGAGCCGACCUUGAAAUACCACCCUUUAAUGUUUGAUGUUCUAACGUUGACCCGUAAUCCGGGUUGCGGACAGUGUCUGGUGGGUAGUUUGACUGGGGCGGUCUCCUCCUAAAGAGUAACGGAGGAGCACGAAGGUUGGCUAAUCCUGGUCGGACAUCAGGAGGUUAGUGCAAUGGCAUAAGCCAGCUUGACUGCGAGCGUGACGGCGCGAGCAGGUGCGAAAGCAGGUCAUAGUGAUCCGGUGGUUCUGAAUGGAAGGGCCAUCGCUCAACGGAUAAAAGGUACUCCGGGGAUAACAGGCUGAUACCGCCCAAGAGUUCAUAUCGACGGCGGUGUUUGGCACCUCGAUGUCGGCUCAUCACAUCCUGGGGCUGAAGUAGGUCCCAAGGGUAUGGCUGUUCGCCAUUUAAAGUGGUACGCGAGCUGGGUUUAGAACGUCGUGAGACAGUUCGGUCCCUAUCUGCCGUGGGCGCUGGAGAACUGAGGGGGGCUGCUCCUAGUACGAGAGGACCGGAGUGGACGCAUCACUGGUGUUCGGGUUGUCAUGCCAAUGGCACUGCCCGGUAGCUAAAUGCGGAAGAGAUAAGUGCUGAAAGCAUCUAAGCACGAAACUUG